AUUGAACGCUGGCGGCAGGCCUAACACAUGCCAGUCGAGCGGAUGAAGGGAGCUUGCUCCUGGAUUCAGCGGCGGACGGGUGAGUAAUGCCUAGGAAUCUGCCUGGUAGUGGGGGAUAACGUCCGGAAACGGGCGCUAAUACCGCAUACGUCCUGAGGGAGAAAGUGGGGGAUCUUCGGACCUCACGCUAUCAGAUGAGCCUAGGUCGGAUUAGCUAGUUGGUGGGGUAAAGGCCUACCAAGGCGACGAUCCGUAACUGGUCUGAGAGGAUGAUCAGUCACACUGGAACUGAGACACGGUCUAGACUCCUACGGGAGGCAGCAGUGGGGAAUAUUGGACAAUGGGCGAAAGCCUGAUCCAGCCAUGCCGCGUGUGUGAAGAAGGUCUUCGGAUUGUAAAGCACUUUAAGUUGGGAGGAAGGGCAGUAAGUUAAUACCUUGCUGUCUUGACGUUACCAACAGAAUAAGCACCGGCUAACUUCGUG
rnacentral:rRNA from 1 species